GGUUGAUGAUGAUGACGACGAUGAUGAUGACAACGACGACGACGAUGUUGUUGUUGUUGUUGUCGUCGUCGUCGUCGUCGUCGUCGUCGUUGUUG
rnacentral:pre_miRNA from 1 species